GCGCGCGUGCGCACUGGCGCGCGCCCGGCAGGAAAAAGCCCAGCGCGAGACCCCGCGCGCGCGCGCGCGUUCGAAAGGGAAAAAAAAAGUCUUCCCCGCGGGGGCCCGCGGCAAUUUAGGCCGGAGUUGGCCGGCGAGCGCGCGUGCGCGAGCGCGCAUAGACGCCUUUCUCCACAGCUCCCCUCGGUUGGGGGUCUAGCGCUGUGUUCCGCUGCUCCUGCUUCUCCAGAGGCUCGCGCCCUCGGGAGCAAGGAACGCAAUCAACGGGUUGGAGUCUACAGAAGACACACCUCCAUCCCUCACGCCCCUCGGGGCUGCGGAAGUACUCAGGAGACUCGAGCGGCACGGAGACGACAGGUGGACUACCAUUCCCAGAAGGCGGCGCGGCGCCGCGCCUACUGCUCCCGGCAGCGCCUGCGCGUCAGGCUUUUUUCAGUUUGCGGCCGCCUAGAGCGAAACUACAGUUCCCAGGAGGCCUCGCGCGAGGCGGCUUGGAAGUGGGCAGCCUGGAAGUCACUCGGGCCACUGGAGCUGGCGGCGUCUCCAGCAAGCGGCGCGGAUCUGAACGCCGCGGUCGUGGGGCCCGCGGGGCGGGCAGCUGGGAGACCCAGAUGCACAGUCUUUGACCUCAGCUCUCCUGGGACCCAUAAGGAGCACUAGUGUCCAGAACGUACCAAGGCAUGGCAGGGAAGGCGGCCCUGCAGCCCGCCAGCCUUCACACACAACUGCUGCUCUCUCUGCCCCGCUGACCCACUCAGUCUGGAGGCCCUGGGACAGCGCCUGCCUCGAGAGGUUGUCCAGGCACUGCUGUCCACAGCGAUGGUGGAGAAUUGGACUCCACAGGCUCACAACCUUCCCAUCAGGCUUCAGGGGCCAGCAUCCUUCAUCCUAGGACUGGUGGCCCUGAACAAUGGCUGAGGGCCAGGGGACCCCAUAAAGUUAGGCUACAGCUUUCAGGGGCCAGCAGCACUCCAGCGCCCGUGGACUAUGACCACCUAUCGGCCCAUCCCCAGUGAUGGUGUGGACCUGGCAGCCAGCUGUGGGGCCAGGGCGGCCGAUGUCCUGCCCGGGCCGCACACAGGGGACUACGCUCCCUUGGGAUUCUGGGUGCAGAACGGCAGCGUGCCCCAGCCCGCGGGCGAGAGCACGGUCAGCGCCCCCACCCGCCCCAGCCCCACCCCCUCUGCCAUGCCCAUCACACGCCUCCGCGCCCGCUGGAUCGUGCACAGGUU
rnacentral:lncRNA from 1 species